AUGGAGCUGGCUAGGGGAGGAGACGACGACUAUGGUUUUGGUGACGAGGACGUCUCAUUGUCGGUCUUUUAUAGUGUGGGACAACAAGGAGAUGAUGUCGCGUGGCGUCCAUCCGAUGGACCGCCACAAGAAAAGGGGGCAAAUGCACCAUUAAUAUGGCGAGUGGUUAGCAGUCACCCCCUCGUCGAUGAUUAUUUGUGUGCAGUGGUGCGUGUACGGGCCACAUGGUGCCUCAAAAACCGGCCGUGGCAUGAAGAGGAAGAAGAUGAAACUUCCCUCCUGCGCUGGCGGUCGGCUUUUGAGCGAGCUUCAAAUGAAGCCUUCACAACCUCCAUGUUUGGAGGCUAUAAGGUCAUUUUUUGA
rnacentral:rRNA from 1 species